GACGAACGCUGGCGGCGUGCCUAACACAUGCCAGUCGAACGGAAAGGCCCUGCUUGCUGGGUACUCGAGUGGCGAACGGGUGAGUAACUCGUGGGUGAUCUGCCCUGCACUUCGGGAUAAGCUUGGGAAACUGGGUCUAAUACCGGAUAGGAACCAUCUUCAGUGUGGUGGUUGGAAAGUUUUUUCGGUGUAGGAUGAGCUCGCGGCCUAUCAGCUUGUUGGUGGGGUAAUGGCCUACCAAGGCGGCGACGGGUAGCCGGCCUGAGAGGGUGUACGGCCACAAUAGACCUGUGAUACGGCACGGACUCCGACAGGAGGCAGCAGUGGGGAAUAUUGCACAAUGGGCGCAAGCCUGAUGCAGCGACGCCGCGUGGGGGAUGAAGGCUUUUGGGUUGUAAACUCCUUUCGCUAGUGACGAAGCGUUGCUGUGACGGUACCUAGAGAAGAAGCACCGGCUAACUACGUG
rnacentral:rRNA from 1 species